GGCGACCGGCGCACGGGUGCGUAACGCGUAUGUAACCUACCUAUAACAGGGGCAUAACACUGAGAAAUUGGUACUAAUUCCCCAUAAUAUUCGGAGAGGCAUCUCUCCGGGUUGAAAACUCCGGUGGUUAUAGAUGGACAUGCGUUGUAUUAGCUAGUUGGUGAGGUAACGGCUCACCAAGGCAACGAUACAUAGGGGGACUGAGAGGUUAACCCCCCACACUGGUACUGAGACACGGCCAGACUCCUACGGGAGGCAGCAUG
rnacentral:rRNA from 1 species